rnacentral:rRNA from 1 species
UACAGAGGUGGCAAGCGUUGUUCGGAAUUACUGGGCGUAAAGGGCGCGUAGGCGGCUCGACAAGUCCCGCGUGAAAGCCCCCGGCUCAACUGGGGAACUGCGCGGGAAACUGUCGGACUUGAGUCCGGAAGAGGAGAGUGGAAUUCCUGGUGUAGCGGUGAAAUGCGCAGAUAUCAGGAAGAACACCCGUGGCGAAGGCGGCUCUCUGGGCCACUACUGACGCUGAGAAGCGAAAGCAUGGGGAGCGAACAGG